AGCGAACGCUGGCGGCAGGCCUAACACAUGCAAGUCGAGCGGCCGUAGCAAUACGGCAGCGGCAGACGGGAGAGUAACACGUGGGAACGUGCCCUUUGGUUCGGAAUAACGCAGGGAAACUUGCGCUAAUACCGGAUAAGCCCUUACGGGGAAAGAUUUAUCGCCAAUGGAGCGGCCCGCGUCUGAUUAGCUAGUUGGUGAGGUAACGGCUCACCAAGGCGACGAUCAGUAGCUGGUCUGAGAGGAUGAUCAGCCUCACUGGGACUGAGACACGGCCCAGACUCCUACGGGAGGCAGCAGUGGGGAAUAUUGGACAAUGGGCGCAAGCCUGAUCCAGCCAUGCCGCGUGGAUGAUGAAGGCCUUUAGGGUUGUAAAGUCCUUUCGGCGGGGAAGAUAAUGA
rnacentral:rRNA from 1 species